rfam:Ruminococcus sp. CAG:60 genomic scaffold, scf352
CAGUCGAUCUGCUGAGGACUGAUGAAAUGAAUGUGGGUGUCAAUUCCCCCUGCUGUUACGAUCAUUCCCUCUCCUGCCAGGGCUUCUGUAGAUGCGCCUACUGUCAUUCCAGGUGUUACGCCGUCCAUAAUGUCCGGGUUUCCUGCUUUUCCGAUUCCUGCGAUUUUGCCGUCUUUGAUUCCAAUGUCAGCUUUGACGAUUCCGGUGGAAUCCACGAUCAGGGCAUUGGUGAUCACAAGGUCAAGAUCACCGUCCUUGCUGCAGGUUUUUACAGACUGUCCCAUGCCGUCACGG